rnacentral:rRNA from 1 species
AGUGAACGCUGGCGGUAGGCCUAACACAUGCAAGUCGAACGGCAGCACAGUAAGAGCUUGCUCUUACGGGUGGCGAGUGGCGGACGGGUGAGGAAUACAUCGGAAUCUACUUUUUCGUGGGGGAUAACGUAGGGAAACUUACGCUAAUACCGCAUACGACCUACGGGGGAAAGCAGGGGAUCUUCGGACCUUGCGCGAUUGAAUGAGCCGAUGUCGGAUUAGCUAGUUGGCGGGGUAAAGGCCCACCAAGGCGACGAUCCGUAGCUGGUCUGAGAGGAUGAUCAGCCACACUGGAACUGAGCCACGGUCCAGACUCCUACGGGAGGCCGCAGUGGGGAAUAUUGGACAAUGGGCGCAAGCCUGAUCCAGCCAUACCGCGUGGGUGAAGAAGGCCUUCGGGUUGUAAAGCCCUUUUGUUGGGAAAGAAAAGCAGCAGGUUAAUACCCCGCUGUUCUGACGGUACCCAAAGAAUAAGCACCGGCUAACUUCGUG